ensembl:lncRNA
CAAAAACACAGCUUUAUUGCUGGUAUAGGGGGACACGAUAAACAAUACAAAACUAAACUGGGAAAACUAAAGCACAAGGAGCCACAGGGAGAAUCACACAGCUAUGAGGGAGAACGCGACACAGAACUGAGGGAGAGGCAGACAUAAAUACACAGAGGGUUAACGAGGGAAGUGGGAGCACACGGGGAACACAGGUGACACUGAUAAUCAUAACAAGACACAACAGGAGUGAACGCAACACUGAUGGGAGACUGUCAAAGUAAAACAGGAAGUGCACAGAGGUUCAGACAGGAGGAGAGAGAGCACGGGGAGAGCACAGACAUAACGGGCUGGGUAAAACAUGGAAUAAAACACAAGGAGAGACGAGGGCUCACAGAUACACAGAGGGGCACACAGGGGGUAAGAGUCACGAGGGGAAAAACACAUAAGGAAACAACGUAACAGAGCAACUCAGGAAGCAUGGCCUAAAUAAGGAACAAAAUACAUGAAAACUAAGAAUACUGGGCCAACGUGGCCCAGGACCAUGACAGAAAACUGAAGGCUCUGCCUCCCAUUCUACUUUUAAAUACUCUAGGAACAACAAGUAGGCCUGCAGAGUGAGAGCGAAGUGCUCUAAUAGGGUGAUAUGGUACUACAAGGUCAUUAAGAUAAGAUGGGGCCUGAUUAUUUAAGACCUUGUAUGUGAGGAGCAGGAUUUUGAAUUCUGGAUUUAACAGGAAGCCAAUGAAGGGAAGCCAAAACAGGAGAAAUCUGUUCUCUCUUUCUAGUCCCUGUCAGGACUCUUGCUGCAGCAUUUUGGAUCAGCUGAAGGCUUUUCAGGGAGUUUUUAGGACAUCCUGAUAAUAAUGAAUUACAGUAGUCCAGCCUGGAAGUAAUAAAUGCAUGAACUAGUUUUUCAGCGUCACUCUGAGACAGGAUAUUUCUAAUUUUAGAGAUGGAGAUGGAGAGAAAAAGGGAUUCAGUGGGGAACUGCUCAUUCACGAAGUCCGUUCCUUUCAGCUCCCCGUUACUCUUCACCUGCUCCUUCUGUUUGGCCACAACAGGACGACCCCCAACCUCUUAGCCCUGAUUCCACUCUAUUGAAACUGAUGUUCUUCACGAUGUCCUCCAGCAGCUUCAGUCUUCAGCCAACUGCCAAACCUUGCCGCGGACCAUAUUCAUUCUCCUCUGCUGCUGCUGUAUUGUUUUCCACCUGUUACUCACAGCGGGCGUUUCCUCGGUUCACCUGCCUGCCCCCCGACCAUCAAAUCUGGAUUGCAACUACCGUGUUCCUGGCUACUCACCCGGACCCUUCAGUCUUUCCCUCACGACGGCCUCCACCCACAAAACCCAUGCCCAAGACUCCCGCUUGUACUGACUGGCACUGGUGCCCAUCCUUCUAGCCUGAUUCCUGAGUUUAAAAUUGCUUUCAUGUUCCCAUUAAUGUGUCCGACCUGCGUUCAGCGGUAUCAUAGCUGAGGUUUUUGCUAUCGCCCUAGUUUUGCGGUAAUAGUGUGGCAACAUUAGUUCUGAGUUAACAUCCUCUGUUUUUGUUUCAAUUCUGUAUUAAAAUAAAGAUUUGUGAAUUAUGUCAUUUCUGUGCCUCUGUGCUGUAGUUCGCUCUGAGUUCGUCUGCCUUGUGCGGCUCCGGCCGUGACAGUAUGAGUGAAGGUUCGGUGGGGACAGUACACCAGGCUUUUUUGGUCUUUCUAGAAAUUCUCUUCUUAUGUGCACUGGCUUGUUGUUCCAUAUAAAUGCGAAGAUCAACUGAUUAAAUGUUUUGAAAAAGGAUACUGUUAUGAACACAGGCCUGAAAUAAGUAAAAAUAUUUAGGUAUUAUGUUCACUCUACCGAUGAGUGACAAUGGUAGGGCUGGCCAUUUCUUAAUAUCAAGUCUAGUCUGCUCUAGCAGUCGCACAAAACUAUUUUUAAUUCAGUAGUGGAAGGAUUUUGUAACUUUUACACCCAGAUCUGUAAAGGAAGAGGUUUAGAAUUUGUGUGAAUUUGUGUGGAUGCUGCAGUGACCCACUCAAAGAUUCAAACACUAGGGCGGAGAAGCUGCAGCUCCACGUCUUUUUUUUUUUGUGCACCAAAA